UGGGGAAUAUUGCACAAUGGGCGCAAGCCUGAUGCAGCCAUGCCGCGUGUAUGAAGAAGGCCUUCGGGUUGUAAAGUACUUUCAGCGAGGAGGAAGGCGGUAAGGUUAAUAACCUUAUCGAUUGACGUUACUCGCAGAAGAAGCACCGGCUAACUCCGUGCCAGCAGCCGCGGUAAUACGGAGGGUGCAAGCGUUAAUCGGAAUUACUGGGCGUAAAGCGCACGCAGGCGGUCUGUCAAGUCGGAUGUGAAAUCCCCGGGCUCAACCUGGGAACUGCAUUCGAAACUGGCAGGCUAGAGUCUUGUAGAGGGGGGUAGAAUUCCAGGUGUAGCGGUGAAAUGCGUAGAGAUCUGGAGGAAUACUGGUGGCGAAGGCGGCCCCCUGGACAAAGACUGACGCUCAGGUGCGAAAGCGUGGGGAGCAAACA
rnacentral:rRNA from 1 species